rnacentral:lncRNA from 1 species
ACACAUUAAAAGCACAUGAGUCAUCAUAUCUUUCUCGCGUCAUACAGGAUAAGUCCUUUGCCAAAAUCUCUCCCACCAUACGGGAUUUUUGACAUAAUAUUAUGUCAAUUUUACCCCGUUACGCAGGUAUUUCCCCAGAAUUUUCCAUCCAUGCAGGUUUUAUCAUAAUCAUCUUUUCCUGCCAUGCGGGUAAUUCCCUGUAACGGACAUAUAUGUCAGAAUUGGCUCUUUUGACUGCAUGUUCAAUCAUCAAAUUUAGAAAUAAAUCCGAAUGCUCUUUGACACACAUGCUUGAUCCGACGUUGGUCAAAUUAAACACACAUGUUGCUUGUUUCAUCUCAAAUCAUGUUUCAUCUCAAAUCAUGUUGACUGAAAAAUCUUCUUCAUAGACAGUACAUGAAAGACAUUCAUCAACCAAGACUCUCAAUGAUCUAUCUGUUUCUUUUGAUGCCAUUCUUUAGAGAGAACAUACUCCUUCACGUUAUGACCUUUCUUGGUCAUCUUUCGGGUCCCAAGUACCCAGCCAUUCGCUUUCACGAAUGAAAGCAUGGAAAACUUUUAGUCUGAGAAAAAUUAGCCAAUAAUCAACAAUAAUGAGCAUAAAAAUAACCCCAUGUUGGUAUGGUUAAAAAAUAUGCACAUUAAACUUUUAAAACUUUCUUUUAUAUUCUAAAUCACUGUUGGGCAGAAUUAGAGUAAAACAUCAUCCUUCUACAUUAAUUCCAUAUCAACGUUGGGUGGAAAUGGAAAUAAUGCAUAUAACUCAUAAACAAUGUGAUGAUAGUAUGUCUAUUAAACAUCUUUGCUAAGAAAUAAUAAUCAUCAUCAACUUUAUUGCAGCAGGAACAAGAAAUAUACAUUUCUCUAGUUCAAGAGCAUUUCUUGAUCUUUAUCUGUUCUCUGAAAAUUGAUCACUUUGAUACAAAAUUUAUUAGAGAUUUAAGCUUUGAACUUAAGACUCAUAGAGUUAUAACACUGUUAUCAUCAACUUUGGUCAGAAAAUAACAAUGCCAUAUUUUAAUUUUAAAACAAACAUCUUUCUUUUGUCAUAUCGGAAGAUAUCUGAAUCUGAUUUCACCCAUAGGGGAAAACAUUGCUAAGAAUAGUUCUUCCAAUUAAAUUUUCCCGUUGGUUUCAAUUUAAUUGGAGGAUAAAACUUUUACUUUGCAACGUAAAAUUUACAAUAUUCUAUUCAGAAACAAUUCUGUACUCUUUUACACUCUAAGCAAUUUUAACCAGUUAGUUCAAAAUUGCAUUAGAGAAGCAACAAUUUAAUCUUUCACUUCAAGUUCUAUUCACUUUUAAAAGAACACUUUUAUUUUUAUUUGCAACGGAAAACAUGAAUAAAAAAAUUCAUGGACUUUUCACUUUUCAGAAACAUUACUUUUACUUUUCUAUUUUCUAAAUAAAAAUUUUCUUUGAAUAAUUUUUGAAUAGAAAAAAGACGGUAUUAAUUGUUCCCAAAGAACUGGACAAAAACAGAAAAAACAAAAAAGGACACUGAAACUGUUCUAUGCACACACGCCGCUCGCGGCCCACGGUCAGCUGGGCGAGCUUCACUCGGCCGCCCGAGCUCCUCGGCCCAUGGCCCACCGUGGCAAUGCGUCUGCAGCCUGGUCCGCCGGACCAAAGGCCUGCCUUACUUUCGGCCCAUAAGGCCCAGCGACGCGCUAGGGUUUGGAUCUCAGCCGUCCGAUUCAAUCUGACGGUCGAGCGUCAUUUUCGGUAGAUCGAAACGGGAGAGUCCGAUCCCCCGAUCGAAAACCCUAGCCAUUCUCUUUACCUCGCCUCUCUCUUCGACCUGUCCGCGAGAUCAGGAACGACGACGGUGAGAAAAAACAGCGCCCCGGCCGCCUUCCCCGGCCGCUGGCAACGACGCCGAAGCUGCCGCGCCGCGCCUGGCUGUUCAUUCCGUUCCCAUUUCUCUCAUUUCUCUCGAAAAAACGGCGGAAGUAGGGGAUGCUCCCCAGCUGCCCGGGCCUGCCGCCGGCGACGGCGGCGGAUCCACCGCGCCGUGCGAGCGCCUCCUUUCCCUCCCCCUUCUCUUUCCACCCAGCAGGCCACCACCACCGCAUAGCCCGUGCAGAGCUAGAGAGAGAGAGAGAGAGAGAGAGAGAGAGAGAGAGAGAGAGAGAGAGAGAGAGACGCGAUUUGCGCGCCCCUCCCCUUGCUCUCCGGCGCCCAAUGGACGAUGCUCGAACUGCGGUGGCGGCGCCCCCGCAGGCCCCUUUGCCAGGGUGGUUCUUCGUCCCUGCACCUUGGCUUGCCGAUGCGUGUGGGGAUCGAGAGGAACUGCACGGCUCAGCAGCGGGCGCACUUUUCUGUGAAGGGAUUCAAGAGGUUUUUUUUUGUAUAGGGUUCGGAUGCGAUCCGAUUUGGUAAGGGGAGGGCCCCUACUCUCUGUUUCUAACCCAAAACUAAGCCUAGAACAGCUCUGAUGCCAUUGUUAUAACCAUAGGAUCGACUAGGCAAGGGUUUCAGAGUAGAUUAAACUAUAUGUAGUCUGUCUAUGGUCUGUUUGUGUGUAUACCUUAGCCUUCCGGCCAUCGCUGGUUCGUCGAUGAAGGUCUGCGCAGGGGCAGCGAUGGUCGGUGUAGGGGUCGACGGUGAAGUCCGGCAGGGCGUUGUGGAGCUUCGCAUCGCUGACUGGCUUUCCUCGAUUGGUGAGGUUAGG